GAUGAAGAACGUAGCGAAAUGCGAUACGUAGUGUGAAUUGCAGAAUUCAGUGAAUCAUCGAAUCUUUGAACGCACAUUGCACCUCUCGGUAUUCCGGGAGGUAUGCCUGUUCAAGCGUCAUUUGUACCCUCAAGCUCUGCUUGGUGUUGGGUGUUUGUUCCGCCUCUGUGUGUGAACUCGCCUCAAAACAAUUGGCAGCCGGCGUACUUGUUUCGGAGCGCAGCACAUUUUGCGAUCCAGAUCAACGUACAGCGGCAUCCAAGAAGCCUUAUUUAACGCUCUUGACCUCGGAUCAGGUAGGGAUACCCGCUGAACUUAAGCAUAUCAAUAAGCGGAGGA
rnacentral:misc_RNA from 1 species